GUGUCACGACCCAAUUUAGGAUUAUGACCGGUGCUUAGGAGCAAGUGCUCCCAAGUAAGUCUCAUCGGUAAUUUUACAAAAAAUCGGACAGAGUUUUCCCUGUUUUUGGACCAUCCCAAAAAAUUUCCUGUCUCAAUUCAACAACCAAACAUCCCAAUAGCAUACCAAACAAUUGAUAACUUGCCAAUUAACUAAUACAAGUCUCCACCAUAACUAAAUCACCAACCAACCACUAGAAAUACUAAUUUAUCUCCAACUUUGAUAAAUGAGAACGAUACUCGACAUAAGACCAUAAUAACAAAAGAAUACUCAUGACACUAAAAUAAUGACUAUGGAGAACUCUAAGAGUUCAAUGAAAAGACCAUAACAAUAAAUAAAAUCUCUGCCCACGCGAACAAGUGCGAGGCUCACCGAGAAAUAUUAACAUGUGCGCUCUAAUUAACGAAAUCCUCGCCUGCGUCAACUGCUGUCUCUGUAAAAAAAAUUAUCGGGGAAUGAGUCGCUAGCUCAGUGAGUAAUAACACUUAACCAUAACCGUUUUUAUUUGGGGACAAGUCAAAAACAUGUUAGUAUAUCAAACAGAAAACAACAUAAAAAUGCCCUUUCAGAAACAAUAAAUAAUCUUCAGUCUCAUCAUACUUUUCUUGUAGUAUAAUACAAAUACAAUUCAGUAAUAAGCUCGAUAACCACUGUAUAAUAUCAAUAUUCAUAUAUUGGGAGGUUUCAAUGAACGAAUCAUGUAAUCGGUAUAACUGUGGACUUCUUCGCAAGAAGUCAAAUAUAAUGGUAGUCCCUACUCGAGGUAAAUCGGUAACGGUAUGCUAGUUCUACCUUUCCACUAGUGAGAGCUAUAACUGUACUCUAUAAUUGGUAAGUACAAGGUGCACUAGGUCUAACGAACCCGCCGUUAGCUACGGGAUUCUUCAAUGUCUACUCCCAUUUAUACUUGUCUCUGUAAUCCGUAUAUAGUCAUAGAAAAUAUUUUAAAACAAUAUAGGGCAUUUUAGUUCUUAUCAAAGCAUAUAAUUUCUUUUCGAUAACAGUAAAUUCAAGUAACGGUAAUAGAUCUAGUGACAACGAAAAUAUUUAAAACAACGGUAAUCUUCUCAAAUAGCUAUUUCGGUAUCAUAUCAAGUAAAAGACUUGUCCCACAUGCAACUCAAAAUAAUCGGUAACAUAUUCAUAUUAAAAAUCAUGUGUAAAUCAUGCAAGUUAUGAAAACACAAAUUGCGGUAAGAUUACUACUCAUAGUACUCGUGCGAAAUACCAAACUCUUCACCUCGAACGAUCUGUACACUUUCUUCAAUCAAUCUAUAACCACAUCAACACUGAUCUCAUGUUAAUUGCCUCAUUUAGGCUAAAUCCAUCACUAGUUUAGAAUAUCCAAUCCUCCGAGUUUUAUAUUUAACUCUUAAUUCGCCGAAUUAUAGUUACCAACAUAUGAGUAAUUACUAAUCUAUCAACUACAACCUAUUCAUAUAAUUUAUUAAUCCAAUUUCAUAAAGUUCUAUUGAUUCUUUAGGAAGAAAAUUCUCAAUCAUCAUGUAAUAAUUAACUAAUCAUUAGAAUUAAAAUUGAAGACACUAAACUUUGAAACAGUGUAUAGCAGAACCAGAAACACAUCAUGCACUCUUUUCUUAACAUUGUGCACAUAACCUAUAUUUAAUUCAACUCCUUAAUAUGUAUAUUAAUUACCAUCAUUAGACAAUUAUUACUCCACACCCAUUCUGCCCCAAUUAUUAGGUAAUCAUCAUUCCCUAAAUUUAAAAUAAAUCCCAUAGAAGAGUAGAAAUUUCUUUCUAGCAGCAUAUUUAUUUCUUCUAUAUCCAAUUCCCAGAAGUCAAUGCUAUAUUAUUCCCUUGUCUCCAGAUAAUUGGUAAGAUAAUUACAAAGUAAAUUAUGUGUAAGGUUAGUGUCAUGUAUAGGGAUAAAUACCUGAAUUCUAGUUUCCUCCCUCACUUUUCUUCUCCAACUAUGGUCGCCGCUCACCCGAUUCCGCUUCUCUUCGUUCUAUUUUUUUUUCUUUCUUUCUUAGCAUUUUGUAGCUUCUAUUGUUUAGCAUCAGCUUGCUUCCUUUUGCCCUUUUCGUUUCUCUUUCCAAUGGGCUUUAG
rnacentral:lncRNA from 1 species